rnacentral:snRNA from 1 species
GUGCUCGCUUCGAUGGCACAUAUCCUAACACUCGAAAUGAUACAGAGAUCAGCACAGCUCCUGUGCGAGGAGGACACGCAAAUCUGCGAAGGCAACACGGGUGAU